rnacentral:lncRNA from 1 species
CAGAUUUUUAAAACAAAAGCCCAUAAUUAAAUUUAAAACCCUACAAAAAAAUAGUAAAGAUUAGCCUAUAUAGUUUUGGCCAAUUUCGGGCCAAUUUAUCGUCCUAUUACUGAUUUUUUUUUUUUAUAUAUAAAUUCAUAUUAAGGACCCAUUUUUCAACUCGAUCUCACAUACCCACAACAAAGUCCGGAUUCAAGUCUAAUUAAAAACAAAUUCCAAACCAAAAUCAACUUAAACAGGCGGAACCAAAGAGGGGUCAAGAGCAGACGCAACCCCCCCCCCCCCAAUGUUUUGGCUAGAACUGUAAAAUUUCGGAUUUUCGUCCGAAAAUUGCCUAAAUAUUUAUUCAAUAUAUAAAUUGGGUCCCUGACUUUCCGCCUCUGAAACUUUUGGUCAAACUCCGUCACGAGUUUUGUAUAUAUAAAAAUCUAGAUUUUUCUAGAAAAACAUGUUUCGGACCCUUUAGUUGUAGUCGAUAGACAAAAAAGCCUUGUGAUCUUAAGAUGACACUUUGAUAAAAAGUUGUAGUUCCGCCACCACUGGAUUAGUUAAUCAUAAGAUAGAAAAAUAUAUGAUGAAAUUAUAUAAUAUACCUGUGUAGACACAUGUGACGUAGAUAAGAGACUCUUUGGGGCCAGCCAUGGCGUCAACCGGUGUGGCAUAACCAGGGCCCUUCUUGCAGCAACUGUGGUUAGCCUCUCGAGCCAUCUUGUUGAUUGUGGUCUGUAAUCAGUUGCAGUAGAUGAAUGAUAUAUAGACAUAGAAGGAACUGAUGAGAGGUGAGGUGACAGGUAUCUUCCAAUUCGGUUUGUCAUAA